GCCAUCUACAAAUGUGCUUUCCCCACUGGGGCACCAGACUGAAGAAAGCAAUGUUGCUUGGAUCAACAUGUUAAGAGCUUCUUAACUCCUAAAAAGUAUUCUUUGAAAUUCAGACUUUUAAAGGGUAACAAAGGAGUUUGCAUCAGGUAAUAUGUGUUCAGGAACAAUCAAAAGAAACUCAUUUCAAAGUGGCCUAAAGAUAGAGGCAGUUUAUUGGAUCAUAGUAACUGGAAGUCCAGAACUUUAGCAAUCCAGUGGCUCUGGCCUCCUUUUCUUGCUUUUAUCUUGGCUGCCAUUACUGAAGAGGAUUUUGCAGUUUUGGUAAAUUGCAUCAUGGUAUUCACAGGAAAGCAGUGAGCACUUUUUUUCCCAACUAUUCUAAGCAAGAAUUCUUCAACUUACUCUGAAUUAGAGCAUUUAGGAAUAUUAACUGUGGCUGGGAGAAAGAAGGGAGUUGUUUAGAUUAAAUGAAAAAGAGUCUAUUCUUGGAGCUGGAGGUGGUCAGCUUCUGAACUACAGGUGCUCUGCAGGAAUAAGAUCCUUCCACUUCCUGUCUGGUUCCCUUUGAUCCCAGCCUCUCUGACAUCACUGGAGAAAUGCCAGCCUAUGGAAGACAACCUCUGAGUCUCCUGGUGCCAAAACCAAGAACUUACUUGCAUCUACAUGUAAAUCAGAUUUUCCCUUGGGCAGCAUGGAGCAAAUCCCACUGUGAAAAGGUUUCCUCCGUCUUCCUCUUUGUCAGACUGCAUGCUGAGUCACAGGAUGGACCAGAUGUGUUGGUAUGAGAUGAAGUCAGGCCGGGAGACAAGAUGGCAGGCUGAGAACUGGGGCUGGCCCUUCCUGUGCUGUCCAUUCCGGUGUGGUCCUCCAGCCCUUCUGGAUUGUCAUAAAGGACAAGUCCUGAGUUAGCCUACUGAAGGAUGAGAGAAUAUAUGAAGGAGAACUGAGUCACUCCAACUAAGGCCAAACUACAGCAGCAUGCUACAACCUGUCUGUUGUGUGCAGAAUCAUGGGCAAGGUCAGCCAACAUCAAGUGAGCCAAGAAAGUCACCCAG
rnacentral:lncRNA from 10 species